rnacentral:rRNA from 1 species
UACACUCCUACGGGAGGCAGCAGUGGGGAAUUUCGGACAAUGGGCGAAAGCCUGAUCCAGCAAUGCCGCGUGCAGGAUGAAGGCCUUCGGGUUGUAAACUGCUUUUGUACGGAACGAAAAAGCUCCUUCUAAUACAGGGGGCCCAUGACGGUACCGUAAGAAUAAGCACCGGCUAACUACGUGCCAGCAGCCGCGGUAAUACGUAGGGUGCGAGCGUUAAUCGGAAUUACUGGGCGUAAAGCGUGCGCAGGCGGUUAUGUAAGACAGAUGUGAAAUCCCCGGGCUCAACCUGGGAACUGCAUGGGUGACUGCAUGGCUAGAGUACGGUAGAGGGGGAUGGAAUUCCGCGUGUAGCAGUGAAAUGCGUAGAUAUGCGGAGGAACACCGAUGGCGAAGGCAAUCCCCUGGACCAGUAUUGACGCUCAUGCACGAAAGCGUGGGGAGCAAACAGGAUUAGAAACCCGAGUAGUCCCAUGA